CCAAUAAGUUAAAACCACAUCUCUUCUGAUGUUUCGAGACAUAUAGGAACGGAAGCAAUGUUUGCAGACUUGGGUCACUUCAGUGUCCCAGCCACUCAAAUUAGUUUCACUGGAGUUGUGUGUCCUGCAUAACUAUUGGCUUACAGUGGGCAAGCUUCAUACCUCACUGAAUACCCUGAAAAUGUCACAACUUCUUUCUAUUCCAGUAUUCCUACUCCAUUAUUCUGGCCACAAUUUUCCUAUCAG